rnacentral:lncRNA from 1 species
UUGGAUAACUUUCAAGUGUCUCAAUGAACUUACAGUGGACAAUAAAAUAAAAAUUCUUGAAAAAGUCCAACUAAAUACCGAUUAAAAUAAAAGUUCAACUAAUAAAGGUUUAUAUGGUUGUUUGGCUGCUCAAGUGAAUUUUGAGGGAGAGCUUGUGGAUUUUUUUUUUGGUUGCGGAGUAGGUUUUGUAGUGGAUUUGGGGCAUAUUUAAAUUUGAAUAUUUUCUUAAAAUUCGACCCACUUUUAUCAAGCCCAAAUCUUGUUGUUUUGUCAAAAGUGGAGUUGUGGAAAAUGAAUUGAAGCUGGUGAGAUGGUUCCAGCUGGCAUCAUUGAUAAGAAAUUAAUUAAGCUCUUAGUUGAUAUUUAACUGUUAUUAUAAUAUGAGGACAUAUUAAUUAAUUAUUGAGAUAGGAAAACCGUGGUACUUCAUUUCCAUUUAACUGUGAGGGAUCUAAGGAUAUUGUUAAAAAACAUGUUAAUUUAAAGGAAACUGUUCAUCCUAUGAUAGAUUAGGCAUGGACUAUUAUAGAUGUCCAUGCUUUAUUUUACAUACUGCUUGGGAUGUGUUACAUACAUUACGCACAUGCAUAUCAUGGAUGUCCACCGUGUCCUCCACCUCCGUGUCCGCCUCCACCUCCAGGUCUUCCUCCUCCGCCAGGUCUUCCUCCGUCUCCGCCAGGUCCGCCGUCGUGUGGUCCGCCAGGUCCGCCGUCGUGUGGUCCGCCAGGUCCGCCGUCACGUGGUCCGCCAGGUCCACCGUCACGUGGUCCGCCAGGUCCACCGUCAUGUGGUCCGCCUCCUCCCGAACCAUCUACACCAACUGCAUAUACACAAACAUGGUUAAAUAUUGUUAUGAUUAAUAUAAUUUAAUGAAGAUAUAUUAUUAAUAUAUAGAAUAAUUUUACACUAGGUAAGUUCAUUUUAUAAUAGCAAUUUAAAAAUAACUAUAGCAACAAUGUAUCAAUGUAAAAUUGAUUUAAAAUUAGUUAUCAAUAUUUUUUCUCUCUCAAAACUUUAGUAUCUACUAUAAGUAGAUAAAAUACACCACUAUCUAUAAGAGUA